UACGUAGGGUGCGAGCGUUAAUCGGAAUUACUGGGCGUAAAGCGUGCGCAGGCGGUGAUGUAAGACAGGUGUGAAAUCCCCGGGCUUAACCUGGGAACUGCAUUUGUGACUGCAUCGCUGGAGUGCGGCAGAGGGGGAUGGAAUUCCGCGUGUAGCAGUGAAAUGCGUAGAUAUGCGGAGGAACACCGACGGCGAAGGCAAUCCCCUGGGCCUGCACUGACGCUCAUGCACGAAAGCGUGGGGAGCAAACAGG
rnacentral:rRNA from 1 species